AUCUGCCAAUCGGCGGCGCUGCCAGUUGCUACGUCAUGCCCGGCCCCUGCUCCUCCCCAAGAUCCUUCUGUCUCUGAUCUCUGAUCUCUGACCUGCGUUCUUAGCUGGGACGUCGAGUUCUCCCAGGAUAAUUAUCGACCAGGAAGGAGUAGCCACUAUUCAUGCCAUUGUCAAAACCUCAUGGCAACAAAACUUCCAGGGCUGGAAUUGCAAAGAUGAUUACAAAGGGGAGCUCCACAAUCAGCUAGAGUCAGAUGAUUAUAAGUCCCUGGAAUGAUGAUGCCACAAGAUGGAAGGAGUCUAGCUACAUGAUUCAUUGCAUGGGUGUUCCAAGAUAAUGAAUACUUCCAUAGCAACAAAAGUCUGACAAUAAACGGUUACCUUGAUUUUCACAUUUUCAAAGAAAAAUCCCUCAAUGGCAACUAGACCAGAAGUCUCAACACUGAAUAUGCAAUAAUGGCUACAAGUUACAGGAUAUCAAAGUGGAGUGUGAACCAGCCAGGAGGAGAACGAAUAACACCCAAAGACAAAAAAGGACUUGUUGUCUUUUCUGGGGAAAGGUGAAGAAAGGAACAAGGUGUUCAGCUAAUAACGUGGUUUGGGAAGGGAGUUUGAAAAGAGAAGAUAAAGAAAUACUCAUCUAGGAGAGUAGGAGUGUGGAUGGACUAGAAAAAAGAAAAAGAAAUUCUUGGUCCCCAACAUGGAAAUCCAAGAUGCAAGGAAAUCAUAGGCUCUGAAUCACCUGGGGAAGAAACCGCUGCAGACCAAAUUGCAUCUUAGAUCCAUUAAAUCAGAAACUUGGAUUGCUGGAUUCAGGUACAAGUAUUUUUAAAGCUCCCUAAGUGAUUAUAAUGUAUAGCCAAAGUUGAGAACUACUGCUUUGGAGCCACUGGUCUAAUGGAACAAAUUGCAUUGAUUUACUUCCCUUAAUAUUACUAUGUAUAACUAACUAAAUAAGAUGUAUUAUUUUAUGUUUCUUCUUAAUAUUGGCAUAAACCAAUAAAUUAGUGUAUGUAUGUUUCAUUGUUAGAAGAAUAUAUGAAUAUUAUUUUUGUACCAGAUAUUCCAUCAGGAGCAGAAACGUUCACAGAAAAGGGGCACAAAUUUUAGGGGCAGAGUAAGAUGUGAACCAUACAAUCAGCUCUGAGCAUCCUCCUCUGCCCAUUUGCCUCAUAUGGUUUUAAGGAUGGUAAGUGCAGAUAAAGCUGUGAAUGAGAAGAGGAACAGAGCAGUCAUCAUGGAACAUGAGAGAGAAGCUAUGUAUUCAAGGCCCCAGAACCACAAGUAGAAGGAGCCUGGAUCCCAGAUAAUUUUGUGGGUCCCAUAGUCCUGAAUUGCCUGCCCAGGCUUUAACAUGAAAGAGAACAAUUUCUCUAUUUCAUUUAAACCACAGUUAUUACAGGGUCUCUUUCAACAGCCAAACCUAUUACCUAACUAACACAAGUCAUGACCAGGUAGUCUUGCUAACAGAAUAUCUCAUAUUCAAUUAAGUGUUUUAAAUAUAUACCAUUGUUACUGCACCUGAACAACCGAAAACUUCUGUGAGAAGACCAAAAAUCUAUACUUAGUAGAAAUUUUCCUUCUUAAUUUUAGCAUCUACAGAAAUGUGCCCCAUAUUUUGUCCUGUGAAUGACUUUCAAAAGUUCAGACUUGUGUAAUGCCCUAUAAGUUGAACCAAAUAUUAAUUUCUUUGCAAUAUAUAAAGAUUUUAUUUAACAUAGUGUAAUAUAAAGAUAAUAUAUGUCUAAUGUAGUAGAUGUCAAGUACAGUAUGUGUUUGGUAUUUAGACCUUAUAAAAAAAAUUUUUCUAGCUCUUGUCUACCAUGUAGGUAACAUAUUCCCAUUUUAUAAAUAAAGCAAUUCCAGAACAUGUUUCAAUUCUCUUAAUUCCAUGGUUUUUUCUAUAUUAUCUCAUGUUGCAGUUAAAUUUAAUUUCAAAUUUAUACUAUUUUAAAAUCAUUAUUGGUAUUUCUGCAAAUUGUAGUUAGUUUCCAUUUGAAAUUAUUUUCCUCACAAUUGUGCUUAUGCUGCAAUUCACAAUGAUGACACUGGAUGGCACCAAAUUUUACCUUUUAAAGUUGAUUUUCCAUUUAAACUAUGACUGGUGCACAGCAAAUAUUUAAGUUACAGAACUUACUCAAAAACUGAAUACUUUAAUCACAUAAAUACAAACCCUAAUUCCCAAGUCAAUGAUAAAAACCAACAUAAUUGCACCACAUGUUUGUAACUGAAGAAACAAAUUAUGUGCAUAAAUGAAGAUUACAAUUCUAAAGUGCUGACUGAAAGUGUAUUGUAUGUAAUAACAUCAAUGGGUGUUUAAACUUGAAAUUGUGUAAACCAAAGGAAAACUGUUCAAAUACAUGAGUCACAGCAAAUUCUAGGAAACUUGUAGUAUCAAGACAAAGAAAGUAAUGCAAAUAUGCUCCAGUCAUAAGAUUUCAGGUUGGAGAAUACCUAAAGCUUACUGCAACCAUCUAUUUUCUUGGACAAUCUACUCUGAGAGUUCACUCUGAUGUUUCAUGCCCUUGGUGAGUUUUCUAGUCUUGCCAUGGUCCAUAAUUUUCAUAUCAGUAUGGCCGUCACUUGAAGGUAAUAAGCCUUCAAGAUGCAGUUCCUGGAAGAUGAGUUCCUGGCUCAGGCUUCCUCUUUCCUCUUCCCUCUGAAGGGAAUUUAUACAUUGAAUCCCAAAUUGUAUAUGCUGGCUGAUUGUGCAUCAUAACCAGUCUUUGCACACACUACCACUCAAAAAUUAAGUGCACAAGAGAAGGAGGAAAACCAGAAGAGUAUAAUACAAUGGAAGGCAAGAUAAGAACCUUGUGAGACUACUACUUUCUUCCAAUUGAGCAGACCAUUAGCUGGGCGUUGUGGCGGAUGCCUGUAAUCUCAGCUACCGGGAGGCUGAGG
rnacentral:lncRNA from 1 species